AGCUGUGGAGGCUGGAGCAGGUUUAGCUUGUUACUCAUCAGGGAAGCAUCCCUCGGACAGCUGAGGCCUCUCCAGCUAUAAAAGGAGCAGGGCUGGGGCUGGGGCUCCCUCUGCCUGGGGGUUUGCCCAAAGUAGAGCUGGGACAGCCAGGCUUUGCUUCACCUCUUGUGGUACCAUGGAUGGGAUGCAGGUGAACCCCAGCAGCCCUGCCCCGACACCGCCGUGAGCUUCCACUAGAGCUGGUGGAUCCAACCAGCCCAGUCACAGUGAAAGGAAAAGAAAUGCUUCGAAAAAAACAAGAGCCUGCAGCAUCGUUGGGCCAAUCCACCCUCCUCCGGGCAGCUCUGCACACCCAAGGGAAGCCACUGUUCUGCAAUUUCAUCCUUGGACAGCAAACUGCUUUACAGCAGAGUUCACUGGCAGCAGCCCUGUUUUCAAAGGAUAUGUCUGAACCCGCCUGGCUGAGCAAAGAUAUCCGCAACAACUGCCCCAUGGGACCCACAGAGCCCAGCGACGAGGCCAAGAAGAGGUCUGCUCUUGCCUGAUUAGCUGAAUCCAAUCCUCUUUUUUUUUGUCUUCCCAUUGAAUAUAGAGAGUUGGCUUUAAUCUGGAGGAGUAUAGUGUGAUUGCUUGGCUUCUGUGCCAUGUUGUCUUGCCCUCAUGCUGUGGAGAUGGCUGGAACUGAGAUCUCACUACAAAAGCAUGUCCUGUAUCCCUUGGUCCCAUGUUGUGUGCCCAAAUCUGGUGGGCCUGGGCUGAGCCAAAAUUUAGCCUGGGACCCGGCAAAGCACAAAUGCGUCCUGAAUGUCCUCAGUUUCAUCAGACCUGCUCUAUACACAUGAAGAUCCUGCAAGAGCAAGUACCAGGACUGGCACAGACACCUGAGACUGGUUUAACCCCUAGGCUGGGCAUCCCUCAGCUGCCGUCAUGUCUGAAAGCAAAACACCCUGAAAUAAGGGGUGAAAUGGCAAGCUCCUCACUAGGACUUGGCAUUGCAGGGGCAUGGAGUGCUGUGGGGCCUUGCUACAGUCCUCUGUGCAACACCACAGGGUGUUUUGUCUCUGUAGGUGACUGUGAUUUAUUAAAUAAACAUUGGUGUUUCACAUUAGUAGUUCUGGAGAGAUAAUUUCUUGCCUUUGUGUCCCUGAUGAUGAGGACUAAUUGGGAUAAAGUACUUGCUGUGCAAGC